rfam:Salmo salar isolate Sally breed double haploid chromosome ssa19, whole genome shotgun sequence.
UGUAUUCACUACUGUAAGUCGCUCUGAAUAAGAGCGUCUGCUAAAUGACUGAAU